GGAGAGGGAGAAGCAGGCUUCCCGCUGAGCCCAAGGCAGACUCUUAGCCAACUGAGCCACCCUGGCAACCCUAAAUAGGAAAAUACUUAAAGAUUGAUAAUAAGAGAAAUGGGUAAUCCAGUGAAGUUGAUGGAAGUGUCUAUUGGGUCAAACCAUGGGUUGUUUGGUAAUACUUUUUUACUUAGGAAAUUUCACUUGUAGGAAUUUACAGAUAGAAUUGUACAGGUGUCCAAAGAAAUAUAUUCAAGGUCAUUCUUUUAACCAUUGGUUAUAAAUAGCAAGAAAGUAGAAAUAAUCUAUCCAUUGAUAAUAGUUAUAUAUAAUAGUGAUACCUAACAUUUCCUCAGCAUUUACUUUGAGUGAAGUACUGUUCUGUGUACUUUUCAUAUUUUAUCUUGUAAAAUCUUUACAAUAACUAUCAUAUCGGUUUAGGUAUACUCAUUUUAAGGUAUACUCAUUUAGGUAUCCUCAUUUCUGAGCAUAAGGCUCAGAAAAAAAUUGGUUAAAUAUACUAUGGGGGAUCUAAUUGUAGAA